GUGUGCAGGUAGUGAUGAAAUUUGUCCAUGACUGUCAUAUAUUAGACAUUUAUUUAUUUUUGUAUAUUUGCAUAUGUCCUUAUUCUGUCAUGAUUUGAUUUGUUUUUACAACUAAUUGAUGACAUUACCUUCUCAAUUAGGCAUAGAUCUAUGUUUAUGUGUAGGUUAGGCGCAUUGAGUACAACGUAUAACUCUCUCCCAAAUGAAUCUUCGCAACCAUUUGAGACUGCGAUUGAGAUGAAUUUGUGUAAGCUAUCACUCCUCAUAUCUCUCUCCCUUUGCAAUUUAUUUCCCAGGAAGAAGAGUGGGCUAGAAAUAGAAUGAUGCUCUAGAUGCACUUUUUGUGUAUGAGAAUCAUCCUUUAGUUCCAUCAAUUAUCUUACUAUACCAAUUGCAGUACCAUUCACCAAUGCAAGGAUUGCAUCCUUUUCAAAUGGACACAGAUACCAGGUCAGUGUAACAUGAUUUAUGCAAUUUAGCCCUUGAAUAAUUUCUGCUCUAUGUAUUCAUGCAAAGGCUGGUUUUAUAGUCUAUCACUUGUUGCAAUAAUGGAAUCAAUGGCUAUCUUUGGAUAUCUGAGAGGAACAUAUACAGAAGAGUAAUCCAUUCCCCACAUAAGGGGUUGGGAGACAUUAAUAAUAAUCAAGUGUUGUAAGUUUCGAGAUUUUGAUCAAUCGCACCUAAAGUUAGGCCUACAAGCACUUCUUCAGCCUUUGAUGUCAGUCGUGCUUAGGAGUGGACCAUAUGGAGGAUUUGUUUUUGUUUUUGUUUUUUGUAUUUUAAAUUUAUCAAGACCAUUUUCAGCUUAUUGUUGUAAAUAUUAUAAUUUUUUUUAUUGUGAAGUAAUAUAAUUUUUGUUUAAUAUUCAUUUUUAAUUGUAUUGCAACAUUUUUUAUGUUUCAAAUAUGAAAAAAAUAAUACAGGUUUCAA